CUAAGUUUGAUGGCGACCGGCGCACGGGUGAGUAACACGUAUCCAACCUGCCGAUGACUCGGGGAUAGCCUUUCGAAAGAAAGAUUAAUACCCGAUGGCAUAGUUCUUCCGCAUGGUAGAACUAUUAAAGAAUUUCGGUCAUCGAUGGGGAUGCGUUCCAUUAGGUUGUUGGCGGGGUAACGGCCCACCAAGACUACGAUGGAUAGGGGUUCUGAGAGGAAGGUCCCCCACAUUGGAACUGAGACACGGUCCAAACUCCUACGGGAGGCAGCAUG
rnacentral:rRNA from 1 species